GGCAGUCACGCCAUUCAAACGAUAAACGCCGCCAAACUCAUCUCGCGGUACACUUGAUCCCUUCGAAUGGGUAGUCUUCUAUCGCAAAACAGCAAAAAGUUGUCUUUCUUCAUGCCAAAAACGAAGCCGGGUCAAACAAGAAGUAUAAGCAUCGACAAAGAUGAACUGGGCAAAUAAAUGAGUUCUGUUCGGAUUCGGAAAUACCUAUCGGUCGAAGAAAAAUCUAGACAAAAAAACAACUGUUUACCGAACAUGACGAAAUAGUGAGAAAGCGAGAACUUCUUUUUUCUAUCAUUUACUUAGCUCGUGUUAAUUCUUAAAUCAAUAAAAGGAAAAAAAUACUGGACAAAAUGAGCAAAUUCAAUGUCCGUUA